UACGUAGGGGGCAAGCGUUGUCCGGAAUCAUUGGGCGUAAAGAGCGUGUAGGCGGCUCGAUAAGUCCGCUGUGAAAGUCCAGGGCUCAACCCUGGAAGGCCGGUGGAAACUGUCGGGCUAGAGUCCGGAAGAGGCGAGUGGAACUCCCGGUGUAGCGGUGAAAUGCGCAGAUAUCGGGAGGAACACCGGUGGCGAAGGCGGAUCUCUGGGCCAUUACUGACGCUGAGGAGCGAAAGCGUGGGGAGCGAACAGG
rnacentral:rRNA from 1 species